CAUUAUGCCCUCCCUAUUUUCACAAUUUGAAAAUUGAAAACAAAUCCUCUCUCCACUUUUCCUUUUCCCUCUUGUGCGUAUCCAGUCGGUGCAACGACCAAUUUGACGCCGGACCUUGAGCAGCCCGUGAAGUCUUCAUCGAUCCAGGCGAGAACGGUGGUUCUCCUUAGCGAUAAUUGUUAGAUCCAGCUACCGGAAUCGGUCGACAAAAACAUCAGCAAGUUUUCUCCCAAUUUCGGACGUUGUAAUUGAAUCUCUCGUGAUGGCCCAUAUUGUUCGUGUACCCCCUGCCGUUAACCUGAUGGUGGAAGAUAUACUUUUUUUGCUGCGCAUUCAACAAAUCAUCAUUCUGUAUUUAUACUUGAAAAGAAGAAGGCGUUUUUCCCAUCAUGUAAGAAAUCACCAAGUUAGGUAUUCACUAAUUGAUCGAAUCCCUCCACAAGUGAGGCAUAUGAACAGGCUCACUGCAGUUAGUGAUGUUGACUGUUUUUCGAACCUCCGUAUGGAUAGGAAUGCAUUUGGGCGAUUGUGUAUUCUUUUAAGAGACCGUGGUGGACUACGAGAUGGUCGAUUGGUGUUACUAGAGGAGCAAUUAGCAAUUUUCCUAGGCAUUCUAGCACAUCAUAAGAAAAUUAGACCUUCUGGACUUGAAUUUCGACGUUCGGGUGAAACCAUUUCUCACUAUGUGCAUCUUGUACUUAAAGCGGUACUCAAGUUGCAUACUAUUUUAUUGCCUCGUCCUGAUCCGGUAACAAACAAUUGUGUUGACCCACGAUGGAAACACUUCAAGGGUUGUAUUGGCGCUCUUGAUGGCACAUACAUAAAUGUGCUAGUGAGGACCUUAGAUCCACGAUAUCGCACACGAAAGGGCCAAAUCGCGACCAAUACUCUUGCUGCUUGUGACCGCAAUAUGAAGUUUUUAUACUUUCUACCCGGGUAGGAGGGAUCGGCGGGUGACUCUCGAGUGCUUAGGGACGCUGUCACUAGAGAAGGUGGAUUAAGAGUAAACAAAGGAACUUAUUAUCUAUGUGAUAAUGGAUACGACAUAGUGAAGUAUUCCUUACUCCGUACAAAAAUGUGCGCUACCAUUUGAAGGAAUGGGGAGUCGGGACCCAGCGUCCACAAAAUGCACGAGAGUUGUUUAAUCUAAGGCACACUAGAGCUCGUAACAUUAUAGAGUGGGCAUUUGCGGUGCUAAAGAUGAGAUGGGGCAUCUUAUGUAGUGCUACUUUCUAUCCGAUUAAGAUCCAGAUCCGGUUAAUCAUGACAUGCUUCCUGCUACACAAUUUCAUACGGGGGGAGAUGCAUAAUGAUCCAAUUGAGCAACACGUUGACGGAGAUACAAGUCGAGUCAACUACAGAAUGGAAUCAAAUGCGGGAUGAAUUGGCUAACUCCAUGUGGAGUAUUCGAGCCAAUGUCGAUGGUAACUGAAGAAUUUGACAUGAUACCCGAGUGUUUUUGCGGCGGUGGCAGGAUGAAAUUGUUAUGUGUUGGGCCAGAGGCUACACAUGUCGGUCGUUACUUUUACAAAUGCCCAACCGAUGCUAAACAUUUCGAGUCUUUCUUAUUGUGCGAUGACUACCAUUCUACUCAUGGCGAUGGCAAGCAACCGGCAUAUGUGAAGAGUCAAUCGUAUCGGCCUAAUAAACAAAUGUGGUCCAGUGAGGCAGUAAAAAAAAAAGCAUCAAGACCGGUAGUGAUUGUGGGGUUUGCGGCCGCUGUCGUGUGGAAGCUCGGGUGAACCUCUUGUUGGCUGGCAUGAGUUUAGUUUUAUUAUUGGUUGGAUUUGUGCUAGGGAAAAUGAUGUAGUUUGUUUAUGCAAAAUGUGCAACAAAGACUCCUACUUAUUUUGUAGUUUUCUAUUCCUGAAUUAUGCUUUUGCUAUGACAUUUGGUGAAUUAGCUACAUGCACUUAUGUUUUGAAUUAAAUGGUUUCUAAUUAGUAUGUUAUGUGGUUUAUCACCAUGCGGUAUUUAGCUCAUCAAAGCUGCACAAAGUAUCAUUUGUUUUGAGCUUAAUAUUAAUUGAUAAAUGAAUUUUUGGGGUAGGUCUUGUAGCAGACUUGUAUCUUCUUUUGAGGGAUAUGCAAAAUCACUUCAUUGAAUUAUCUUAAAUGCUACCGAUGGUGGAUUUGAUAUGAACCUACCACAUCAAUCGCCGCAUAAAAAUGAAUGAGGGGCAGAUGACUGUGAAUGAGUGUAGAAGAUGUGCUCAUUAAUGAGGAAGAAUGUCUUUUAUAAAUAUGAAACUCGUUGGUGUAGGUGUAGCAAAACACAAGUAUCUCAAUUCUCUCUUUCAACUUCCAUAGCUUCAAAAUAGCAAUGGACUCACCACUCCAAAGCUCAUUUCUCUACCGUGGAAAAUGGAAGCAUGAAAUAGACACCAUCAUUCUCACCACCAUGGUUCGCCUAAAAAAGGAGUAUGGCUGUGAGGGUUCGGUCUUCCCCAGCCACUUUAUUUUCGAGGCUCAGUCCAUGGUGGAGUAUCAUUUCGGGGUGACGUUUGAAUGGUUCGAAAUAGUGGAUCGCCUUCACUUCUUGGAACAGCGUUAUAGGACCUUCAAGGAGCUCCUUGGCAUCGCAGGUACAUACUGGAAUCACUGAGCAACAAGAUCAUCGUCUCGGCGAACACGUGGGCAAGCCAUCUCCCUAGAAAUCACCUCUUCGGUGCCAUAGCAGCGGUGACCCCGCAUACGAAGAGUUACGACAGUUGUUUGCGGUGAAUGAAAAUAAACAAGAGAUAGAGGGAACGUUGAUCGUCCUAUCGGACUGUGCAGGCAGAGGACCGUUUGUGUGAUGCACCACAGAAGAAUGCACAACACGAAGAGCCGGGUGAGGUCAACAGUGUGAACCCAUUUUCUCUUGCACGCCACAAGCUCAUGUUCGACGACAGAGGACUGCAAGACCUUGAGUCAACAAACAAGAAUGUCACCGAACGUGUUUUGCCUCGAGAGACCCCACCAAAGAGUCCAUCGCUUGCCUACUCGUGUGGAUCAUCCAAGCCCGUGACUUGGUUUAGGAUGCCGCGGAAGCCCGAUAUCUAAUCGUGUGCCAUUGUGUAGCUUUUUUGUCAUUAUCACAAAUCUGUGAUGUUAUUUGUGUUUCUAUGGUCGGCUGGUUAGAAAUAUUUUAGUAGAAUGUCGUAGUAAGCAUGGAAUUGGUGUUAGGGUCGUUUAUCACUGAUCUUGACUAGCAAGAUCAGCCGGUUGUUGAACUAAUGCAAAAGUUAUGUACUAAUGUUAUGUAGUUUUUAUGUCUA